UACGGGGGGAGGAAGCGUUGUUCGGAAUUACUGGGCGUAAAGGGCGCGUAGGCGGUUGCCUAAGUCGGACGUGAAAUCCCCAAGCUUAACUUGGGAACUGCAUCUGAUAGUGGGUGACUUGAGUUCGGGAGAGGAAUGUGGAAUUCCAGGUGUAGCGGUGAAAUGCGUAGAUAUCUGGAGGAACACCGGUGGCGAAGGCGGCAUUCUGGACCGAAACUGACGCUGAGGAGCGAAAGCAUGGGGAGCGAACAGG
rnacentral:rRNA from 1 species